AUUGAACGCUGGCGGCAGGCUUAACACAUGCAAGUCGAGCGGGGUGAGGUGCUUCGGUACUGAUCCUAGCGGCGGACGGGUGAGUAAUGCUUAGGAAUCUGCCAUUUAGUGGGGGACAACAUUCCGAAAGGGAUGCUAAUACCGCAUACGUCCUACGGGAGAAAGUCGGGGAUCUUCGGACCUUGCGCUAAAUGAUGAGCCUAAGUCGGAUUAGCUAGUGGGUGGGGGAAAGGCCUACCAAGGCGACGAUCUGUAGCGGGUCUGAGAGGAUGAUCCGCCACACUGGGACUGAGACACGGCCCAGACUCCUACGGGAGGCAGCAGUGGGGAAUAUUGGACAAUGGGCGGAAGCCUGAUCCAGCCAUGCCGCGUGUGUGAAGAAGGCCUUUUGGUUGUAAAGCACUUUAAGCGAGGAGGAGGCUACCUGGAUUAAUACUCUAGGAUAGUGGACGUUACUCGCAGAAUAAGCACCGGCUAACUCUGUGCCAGCCGCCGCAGUAA
rnacentral:rRNA from 1 species